AUUACAUCUUUCUGACAAUCUGACCGACAUAACAGGCUUUUACACACACAUAGCUAAGCUGCACACCUUCAAAGCAAACAUGACACAUCUGAAUGAUAUCUUGGAUGGACUCCUAAAACGACUUUGUAGAAGCUGAUGGUGGAGUUUCAGAUAUGUUACAGACUAUGUGAUAUGUUUGAUAUUCGGUUGCUUUCUUUAUAUCAUGUCAACUAAAUAUCAGACAUAUUCCUAUAGACUGUGACACAAAUCUUCACAUCUGUGGCCUCUCUUGCUUCAUCAUGUUGGUUCAUCAGGUUUUUAUUUAUUUAUUUAUAUUUUUAGAAUACAUUUCUUGAUUGUUUCGUUUAUGUUUUCUUGUAUUCUAGCUAGAAAACUCUAUGUUGUACAUUGUUUGAACACUGAUAUCUUAAAUAGUGAAAUGAAAUACAUUUUUUAACAAUGCCUUUACAGUAUUUUACUUGCUGUUUCUUUGUAGUUUUUUUCUUUUGUGAAAUUUACUAGCAGUUUUUUAUACAAAGGUUUCUAGUUGAAAUGUUUUUCCAUUGUAAUUUAUUAUUCAAACUGUAUUAUGAGUAUUAUGUAUGAUACCUGAACAAUUAUGUCCCUCCGAGUCCAAUGCAAUGUAAAUUAUAAUAAAACAGACAUUUCAGUAGUUUCUUUUUUUGCUGUCAAUUUACUAAUCUAACAGAACUGAAUCUAGAGUUACACCAGCAUUCUGCUAAAUAUAUACCACAAAUGGAAAUAUUGGAUUUUUAUCAUUUUUCUGUUUAUUCAAGAUUUUUAUCAUUUUCCUGUUCAUUCAUGUAAAGCCAUCUUGACAAUGUAUAUUGUAUAAAGGACUAUAGAAAUGUGACUUGACUCCCCCUGCCUAAUUUGCUUGAAUAUUGGAAGUUUCUGAAGGUAUGAUCAAUGCCAAUAAAGAAUGUUUAUUUUUAGGCCUUUAUUGUAGUAUAAGCCCUAAACAACCAGUCUUGAAGUUGAUGCCCUAACACCAUUUAACUAUUUCUAUAUCUGCUUUUUAAGUGUGACGCCACGUCAAACUGCCAAAUUUUAUAUUCACAAAAGCAAGUUUUGUAAGUGUAAACCUUUUUGUCCUAAAUUUAAAAUUAAAAUUAAAAUAUAUUUAGAAUGUUUUGAGGGAUCAACAAACUUAAAAGCAAUACAAACAACAACUUUGAUAAAGGACUUGGCAAUUAUCUGGUACUAAAUGAUUGAAUACUCCUG
rnacentral:lncRNA from 1 species